rnacentral:tRNA from 2 species
GCCCCUGUAGCUCAGCGGAUAGAGCAGCUGCCUUCUAAGCAGUCGGUCGUAGGUUCGAGUCCUACCGGGGGCG